UGUGAUUGAGGAACGUUUUGAAAAUAUAGUGGGCAUUGCUUAUGCAAUGGAUCUGCUGGAUUAUGUUCAGAAGGGGGAUCUCAAAGAAAGUACUACAGUGGGAGACAUGGCCCACAAACCUGCAUACUUCGUCCCUGAUUCAAUGUCAGUUUGGAAUCGUCUCAGACAGUUCCACAUUAGGAAGGUUCA